ACGGAAGGCAGCAGUGGGGAAUAUUGCACAAUGGGCGAAAGCCUGAUGCAGCGACGCCGCGUGAAGGAUGAAGUAUUUCGGUAUGUAAACUUCUAUCAGCAGGGAAGAUAAUGACGGUACCUGACUAAGAAGCCCCGGCUAACUACGUGCCAGCAGCCGCGGUAAUACGUAGGGGGCAAGCGUUAUCCGGAUUUACUGGGUGUAAAGGGAGCGUAGACGGUAUGGCAAGCCAGAUGUGAAAACCCAGGGCUCAACCCUGGGACUGCAUUUGGAACUGUCAGACUAGAGUCUCGGAGAGGCAAGCGGAAUUCCUAGUGUAGCGGUGAAAUGCGUAGAUAUUAGGAGGAACACCAGUGGCGAAGGCGGCUUACUGGACGACAACUGACGCUGAGGCUCGAAAGCGUGGGGAGCAAACAGGAUUAGAUACCCUGGUA
rnacentral:rRNA from 1 species